rnacentral:rRNA from 1 species
AUUGAACGCUGGCGGCAGGCCUAACACAUGCAAGUCGAACGAGUGGCGGACGGGUGAGUAAUGUCUUGGAAACUGCCUGAUGGAGGGGGAUACCUACUGGAAACGGUAGCUAAUACCGCAUACCAUCAGAUGUGCCCAGCUGGGAUUAGCUUGUUGGUGGGGUAACGGCUCACCAAGGCGAAGAUCCCUAGCUUGUCUGAGAGGAUGACCAGCCACACUGGAACUGAGAUACGGUCCAGACGCCUACGGGAGGCAGCAGUGGGGAAUAUUUCACAAGGGGCGCAAGCCUGAUGCAGCCAUGCCGCGUGUAUGAAGAAGGCCUACGGGUUGUAAAGUACUUUCAGCGGGGAUGCGUUACCCGCAGAAGAAGCACCGGAUAACUCCGUGCCAGCCGCCGCGGUAAUUC